GGUUGCCACAGAAAGUCUAGAAAUCCGUAGAGCAGAGAAUCGUAACCCACCCGUGUACUUGCUCUGUUUUUAGCCUCCACUGACCCUUCCCGAAGUUCCAUGACUUCUAGAUGUUUACCGUGCCAAAUCUAUAGAUAAGAGAAAAGCAUCGGAGGAGAAGAGGUUUUUCAUCGGAGGUGAUGUUUUAUUGAUGUUUGUAGUUUUGUGGUUUUGAAUCGGUGGAUUUUGUUGUGGUUGGGUUUCAAUUGAUCUUGGUUUUUAUGUUUUGUUGAGGUAAUGAUUUUGGUUUCUAUGUGUUUGGGUAUGGUUUUGUGGUUUUCAGUGGGUGGUUUUUGUUGAGGUUUGGAUUGUCAGUUUUUAUAGAUGUUUGGGUGUUUUGUUGUUUGAAUGGUGAUGAUUAUUUUGUUCUUAUUGUGUAGGUUUUAUGCAAAGGAGUAUUUGGCUUGUUCUUUUGGUGUUGUUAGUUGGUUUUACUUGAUUGUGCUGCUGUGAAUCAGGUUUGGAUUUCUCACUAGAACAACAUCACUGCAAGAAGGUUUUAGGAAUUGAUCCGUUGCCAUCUCACUAUGUGGACUUGCUGUUUACAGUGUUAUAAUUAUAGAUGAGUGACGAACUCAGUUUAUCAUGGGGCUUUGCAAUUCAGGUUUGAGCAUAUAAGCUUGGUGUCUAUUGGCUUGCUGGUGAAGUUUUCAGGGGCUUAAAAUUUAUCAGGGUCUUGAACUUGAUAUUGACCGGUUUGAUCUCCAGAAAGUAAAAUUACCGGCCAGGUUGGUAAACAUGAACAUGAAAUCCCUAUAUUUUGGUAACAGAUGGAUUCAAGUUGAGAACUUGAGAUCUAAACAUGGUCUUUGAUCUUUCAUUCUUUCAUAUAAUGCAGUUCAAGCUUGAUAUGCUGGACUGUUUGAAGAAAGGAUAUGUCUGCUGGAGCAAAGGACAACUUCCAAAACCAGUUUUGGGCUGGAAACCAAGAUAGUGGCAGCAUCCAUUCCUUUUAUGAUGUCGCUGCUAAUCCAGAUUCGUAUGGCAAAGGCACCAGAUUUUUGAGACAAGUAGAACAAUGUAUAAUGUAGUUUUACUAUAUCUAAUGUAUCUAUAACGUAAUUUCGAUGUAAAUUCAACCAUAUCAAUAGUAUACCCGCAGCACCGCGCGGGCAUUUUGCCUAAUAGGAAUAUAAAUGUGACAUUUGAAAUACCAUGCAACCACUAAAUCAAAGUCAAAAUAUGUUGUUGGAGCUA